rnacentral:rRNA from 1 species
UACGUAGGUGACAAGCGUUGUCCGGAUUUACUGGGCGUAAAGAGCGCGCAGGCGGUCGAUCAAGUCGAGUGUGAAAGCCCCCGGCUCAACUGGGGAGGGUCAUUCGAUACUGAUCGACUCGAAGGCAGGAGAGGGUAGUGGAAUUCCCGGUGUAGUGGUGAAAUGCGUAGAUAUCGGGAGGAACACCAGUGGCGAAGGCGACUACCUGGCCUGUUCUUGGCGCUGAGGCGCGAAAGCUAGGGGAGCAAACAGG